GGUGAAGGCAUUAUAUAUAUUCCGUGUUAAGCAUCUCUUCAUUGCAUCGUGUCGCACUGCCUGACUGACUGAGAGUUAUUCUGGUAGACUCUGUAGCACCAUGGGCUGGAAGUGGCAGAUGGUGGCGAUGGUGGCGGUGGUGCUGGCAGUGGUGGUGGAGCAGGGGAUGGUGGAGGCAAGGAAUACGAGAAGUCUCCUCGAUGACCAGCCUCCUCAUCCUCCCUAUUAUAUUAAUGACGCACUACCAACCUCAUAUAAAGUAAGCGGAGUAAAGGGACGUCAAGCCAGAAGUCUCGAAAGCGUCUUAGAGACCGUCUUGCACGGCUUAGAUGCCGCCAAGGAAGUACUGACGGAAUUCAUUACUGUCGUCCGAGAAAUAGUAAAGAAUAAACAAUAGAAAACACAUUUAAUUCAAACCAAUCACAAGACAGUAAAUAUCGUGAACACUGUCACCAGAAAAUAAAAGAGUAACAUUAAUAGCAUUGAUCUGUCCACUGUUGCCAAGCCAAGAGCUGGACCGCGUCACCCUAACCACCAAUGUGACCACCUGACGCCAAGCUUCGUCUACACCACCUACAUGUAUGUGCUGCUUGAGGAGCGCCUUCAAGUUAUUGCCUGACUCUCAUUCCUUCCAUGCCUCCCGCUGGUUAACUCUGAAAUUCUCGAUAUGUUUCUGAUUUCAUUCCUUUCUACGACUUGCUGUGUUUCAUAAGAGGAAGAAUAUCAAGACUCCUCUUGGAAUACAUUUCUUUAACGAAAUCUUGAGAAUGCUAUAUUAAUUACCUUUUUAUUUUUUGUGCUUUUGACCAGACUCUCAACACAUAAAGAAAAAAAGAAUACUAAAAAAUAUGACGAGAUACUUAAUAUUGUCUCUCGAUUGUUUCUUGAAUGUGAUUGGUGUGUGCCGCCUCAACACUCUACAAGCAAUCUUGUGACUGUGCGUCGGGAUUGUCAUGUAUCUACUCCACAAGUGAUGAGGCUGUUCAGACACACUUGUGGGUCUAUCCAGUGUGUAAUAACUAACGAUAGAUUUGAAAGCACAGGCAAAUAAAUGGAUAAAAGUUAA